rnacentral:rRNA from 1 species
CCUACGGGUGGCAGCAGUGGGGAAUAUUGGACAAUGGGGGGAACCCUGAUCCAGCCAUGCCGCGUGUGUGAAGAAGGCCCUCGGGUUGUAAAGCACUUUCAGUGAGGAAGAACGCCUGGUGGUUAAUACCCAUCAGGAAAGACAUCACUCACAGAAGAAGCACCGGCUAACUCCGUGCCAGCAGCCGCGGUAAUACGGAGGGUGCGAGCGUUAAUCGGAAUUACUGGGCGUAAAGCGCGCGUAGGUGGCUUGAUAAGCCGGUUGUGAAAGCCCCGGGCUCAACCUGGGAACGGCAUCCGGAACUGUCAAGCUAGAGUGCAGGAGAGGAAGGUAGAAUUCCCGGUGUAGCGGUGAAAUGCGUAGAGAUCGGGAGGAAUACCAGUGGCGAAGGCGGCCUUCUGGACUGACACUGACACUGAGGUGCGAAAGCGUGGGUAGCAAACAGGAUUAGAUACCCGGUAGUC